CGUGGCUCAACGGAUAGAGCACCGGACUUCUAAUCCGAUGGUUGUGGGUUCGAUUCCCGCCGGGG
rnacentral:tRNA from 1 species